AAAUAAAAAGGCUAUGAGGUCAGCCGAAACCGUCUGAGCGAAGAACUCGGAAUGAUGACUUCUAUUUAGGG
rnacentral:ncRNA from 2 species